rnacentral:rRNA from 1 species
UACGUAGGUGGCGAGCGUUGUCCGGAAUUACUGGGUGUAAAGGGCGUGUAGGCGGGAUUGCAAGUCAGAUGUGAAAUUCUUGAGCUUAACUCAAGAGCUGCAUCUGAAACUGUGAUUCUUGAGUACUGGAGAGGAUAGUGGAAUUCCUAGUGUAGCGGUGAAAUGCGUAGAUAUUAGGAGGAACACCAGUGGCGAAGGCGGCUAUCUGGACAGUAACUGACGCUGAGGCGCGAAAGCGUGGGGAGCAAACAGG